AAAGGAUCUCUACAAUGAGUUGAAUUAAGCUCAGAUUUGCUAAGCUUUGUCAUAUCAAUAUGAACUAAAACAAAUGCCAUUAAUUUCUUCCAAAAUUUAAACAUUUGAGUUUGUUAUCCAGAUUAAGUAUCAUAAUGUUACUUUCUGUCAACAACUGACUCAUUUAUAUGAUUUCUUCUAGAUGAUUUUAAUGGAAAUAUGUGAGAUAAAGUUUAUAUUUAAAUGACACACAGCAGAGAGCUUCCUUUAAAUUUCAAUUACAUUUGUAAUUAUUUACAGCAUAUAUUUUAAAUAUGGUGUGUACCAACAUGUUUCAAUAAAAAUAAAUGAUCUCACAUUAAAUUUCUGUUAAAUUCUGUUUUUACUGUUUCUUACAAGGUUUCAGUGCUGUUUUAAUAUUUUAUGUCGGUACACUCCUAUAAGUCGGCCUUGGCGUAGAGCACUGGUAAUGUUUGGCACAGUAGGUCAGAGCAGGUGGUUUGUGCUCUGUGUGUGAGUGAUCCGCUCUCUCUCCUGCAGAACACUAGAUCAGACCUGCCAGGGGGACCUGCAGCUACGCCAAGCCCAGCAAGGCUUCACUUAGCUGGGUAACAUCUGCUGAGGCCUCCCCUGCCUCCUGGACUUCACCAUGGCGAUGCUGAUCCCCCAGAAUCCAUCUCAGGUGUAUGCGGCCGCUGUGAAUGGAGACAAAAACACCUUACAGUGACUGAUCACAGGUAUCACAUAUAUAAGUGCUCAAAAAAGUCCAUGCUCUUCACUUUGUAUUCCAUGUGCACGAUGUAUCUUAAAAAAAACACACCACCAUUCAAAAGU
ensembl:lncRNA